rnacentral:rRNA from 1 species
GCAGCAGUGGGGAAUAUUGCACAAUGGGCGCAAGCCUGAUGCAGCAACGCCGUGUGAGUGAAGAAGGUUUUCGGAUCGUAAAACUCUGUCCUAAGGGAAGAAACAAAUGACGGUACCUUAGGAGGAAGCCCCGGCUAACUACGUGCCAGCAGCCGCGGUAAUACGUAGGGGGCAAGCGUUAUCCGGAAUCACUGGGCGUAAAGGGUGCGUAGGCGGCUUAGCAAGCCAGGGGUGAAAGGCAUUGGCUCAACCAAUGUAAGCCUUUGGAACUGUUAAGCUUGAGUGCAGGAGAGGUAAGUGGAAUUCCUAGUGUAGAGGUGAAAUUCGUAGAUAUUAGGAGGAACACCAGUGGCGAAGGCGACUUACUGGACUGUAACUGACGCUGAUGCACGAAAGCGUGGGUAGCGAACAGGAUUAGAUACCCGGUAG